AUAUAUAACAACAAUAAGAAUACGUGAGAUAGUAUAGAUAUGAUGAU
rnacentral:guide_RNA from 1 species